GCGCUGCAUUAGCUAGUUGGUAAGGUAACGGCUUACCAAGGCAACGAUGCAUAGCCGACCUGAGAGGGUGAUCGGCCACACUGGAACUGAGACACGGUCCAGACUCCUACGGGAGGCAGCAGUAGGGAAUCUUCCGCAAUGGGCGAAAGCCUGACGGAGCAACGCCGCGUGAGUGAUGAAGGUCUUCGGAUCGUAAAACUCUGUUAUUAGGGAAGAACAUAUGUGUAAGUAACUGUGCACAUCUUGACGGUACCUAAUCAGAAAGCCACGGCUAACUACGUGCCAGCAGCCGCGGUAAUACGUAGGUGGCAAGCGUUAUCCGGAAUUAUUGGGCGUAAAGCGCGCGUAGGCGGUUUUUUAAGUCUGAUGUGAAAGCCCACGGCUCAACCGUGGAGGGUCAUUGGAAACUGGAAAACUUGAGUGCAGAAGAGGAAAGUGGAAUUCCAUGUGUAGCGGUGAAAUGCGCAGAGAUAUGGAGGAACACCAGUGGCGAAGGCGACUUUCUGGUCUGUAACUGACGCUGAUGUGCGAAAGCGUGGGGAUCAAACAGGAUUAGAUACCCUGGUAGUCCACGCCGUAAACGAUGAGUGCUAAGUGUUAGGGGGUUUCCGCCCCUUAGUGCUGCAGCUAACGCAUUAAGCACUCCGCCUGGGGAGUACGACCGCAAGGUUGAAAC
rnacentral:rRNA from 1 species